GGACUACAGGGGUUUCUAAUCCUGUUUGCUCCCCACGCUUUCGUGUCUCAGUGUCAGUGUCAGUCCAGAUAGCCGCCUUCGCCACUGAUGUUCCUCCCGAUAUCUACGCAUUUCACCGCUACACCGGGAAUUCCACUAUCCUCUACCGCACUCUAGCUCGCCAGUAUCAAAUGCAGUUCCAGGGUUGAGCCCUGGGAUUUCACACCUGACUUAGCAAACCACCUACACACGCUUUACGCCCAGUAAUUCCGAUUAACGCUUGCACCCUCUGUAUUACCGCGGCUGCUGGCAC
rnacentral:rRNA from 2 species